rnacentral:tRNA from 1 species
UCCCUGGUGGCUCAGAUGGUAAAGCAUCUGCCUACAAUGCAGGAGACCUGGGUUAAAUCCCUAGGUUGGGAA